UUAGUUGAAGCCAAAUUAGAGGCAAAUCAUUGUUAAUGAUUUAAUUGAUACAAUCCUACUGUU
rnacentral:tRNA from 1 species